GAUGAAGAACGCAGCGAAAUGCGAUAAGUAAUGUGAAUUGCAGAAUUUAGUGAAUCAUCGAAUCUUUGAACGCAUAUUGCGCCCGCCAGCACUCUGGCGGGCAUGCCUGUUCGAGCGUCAUUUCAACCCUCAGGCCUCGUGUCUGGCGUUGGGCGCUGCGGCCCUCCCGCAGGCCCCCAAAUAUAGCGGCGGACCCGUCCGGCCCUGAGCGCAGUAGGGAGUAAACUCGAACGCUCCGGCGGCCGUGGCGCGGUUAUUCCUUCCGCCUUGUAGCGCUAAUGGCGCCACCCCCCAAUAAGUUGACCUCGGAUCAGGUAGGACUACCCGCUGAACUUAAGCAUAUCAAUAAGCGGAGGA
rnacentral:misc_RNA from 1 species